AGAACGAACGCUGGCGGCAGGCCUAACACAUGCAAGUCGAACGCACUCUUCGGAGUGAGUGGCAGACGGGUGAGUAACACGUGGGAACCUACCCGGUGGUACGGAAUAACUCGGGGAAACCCGAGCUAAUACCGAAUACGCCCCAAGGGGGAAAGAUUUAUCGCCAUCGGAAGGGCCCGCGCCGGAUUAGCUAGUUGGUGGGUAACGGCCUACCAAGGCUCCGAUCCGUAGCUGGUCUGAGAGGAUGACCAGCCACACUGGGACUGAGACACGGCCCAGACUCCUACGGGAGGCAGCAGUGGGGAAUCUUGGACAAUGGGCGAAAGCCUGAUCCAGCCAUGCCGCGUGAGUGAAGAAGGCCCUAGGGUUGUAAAGCUCUUUCGGCGGGGACGAUAAUGACGGUACCCGCAGAAGAAGCCCCGGCUAACUCCGUGCCAGCAGCCGC
rnacentral:rRNA from 1 species